UAGGCCCCCUCUUCAUUUUGCUUCUCACUGGCGAACCCUAACAGCCCCAAAUGUUCUGUCGAGAGAAUUGAGCACUUUCGAGUGAUCAAAAAAGUAAGUCAUCUUUCGAGUUAUACUUUCGAGUGAUCAAUGGCCAUAAGCCCAUAACCGACCACUUUGGCAGCAGUUAUCUUCCAAAGACGUUUUUCGUUUUCAUUUCCCUGCUCGACACCUUGCUUCCCUCGUUGCGCUCAGUUCAACUUGAAAGCCCAUCGGUUCAAGCUCAGCUCCUCUACGAUUGAACCCUAGAUCGGUCGAUUUUUUCUCCUGGAACUCCAGUGCCUCGGGAGGACGUAUGGCCAGCAAGACAAAACAAUUCAAACUCUGGUCUUUUUGACAUAUCGAGUGGCUCACCAGCAAAGCAACCAGACAUCCCGGUUAGGCGAGGUAGUGGUGCUCAGCCUACUUUUGGGAAUUCUGCUGCUAACCCUUCAAUGACAUUUGAGGAACCUGAUAAUAUAUCCUAUAAAGCGGCCUCAGCUCUCUCGUAACCGCAACAACCAUUUUACUUAAUCAAAAAAAAGAAACAAGAAAAAAAGGACGUAGCUUUGGUUGCAUCUGUUCGACGUGGACAUUCAAAACCAGUUGAAACUACCUGCACCUUUCCUCCAACAAGAUCAGGUUCCUCAGCUUAUUAAAAAUAGUUUCAUUUUCUAUGAAUUCUUUAAUUGAUUGAAAUUGUAGUUAUCAUCACAACGGUAAUGAACUUGGUCACGAACAAAUUGUGAAAUAUGAGUUUGUUUAGAUUUAAAUGCUGGAGGUUUAAGAUAUGUGAAAGUGAUUAGUUUUAUACUAAAUCUUAUAGUUUAAUGCUUAUGUUUAGGUUAUAACUUCUGUAUAAUAUUAGCAUUUAACAUUUGAUAUUGAAACUACAUAAAUACGAAAUGGAUAAGAGUUGGAUGGAUUUCUCAAGGGUAAGCGUCGAAUAUCGAAAUG